rnacentral:rRNA from 1 species
UACGUAGGGCGCGAGCGUUGUCCGGAAUUAUUGGGCGUAAAGAGCUCGUAGGCGGCCGGUUGCGUCUGCUGUGAAAUCCCGGGGCUUAACCCCGGGCGUGCAGUGGAUACGGGCCGGCUGGAGGCGGGCAGGGGAGAAUGGAAUUCCCGGUGUAGCGGUGAAAUGCGCAGAUAUCGGGAGGAACACCGGUGGCGAAGGCGGUUCUCUGGGCCUGUACUGACGCUGAGGAGCGAAAGCGUGGGGAGCGAACAGG